UACGUAGGGUGCAAGCGUUAUCCGGAAUUAUUGGGCGUAAAGGGCGCGUAGGCGGCCUGACAAGUGGAAGGUGAAAUCCCUCGGCUUAACCGAGGAACUGCCUUCCAAACUGUUUGGCUUGAGUCCGGGAGAGGCGAGUGGAAUUCCCAGUGUAGCGGUGAAAUGCGUAGAUAUUGGGAGGAACACCAGUGGCGAAGGCGGCUCGCUGGACCGGAACUGACGCUGAGGCGCGAAAGCGUGGGGAGCAAACAGG
rnacentral:rRNA from 1 species